UUGGUCUCGCCUUCUUCGCCUCUUUUCGGCUCCAAAAGUUUUAAAGGCAUUGGGAAUGCGUUGGGACGUCAUGCGUGCGGUGUGAUGGUCCGCAGGAACAGGAUGGAAUUCACUUUAAGCGGAUGCCGGUUUCUAACAGGGGCAGAAUUUAUGGCAGUGGAGUUCGCAGCAAAUCCGGGACAACAAGAAGAGUUGACCUCACUUACUUACAGGACAAAAAAUGUGCAUGGAGUUGUUACCCCUAAACCAAACUCACAAAUCGCACACAAUAUCCUAUUGGAUAUCAACCAUGGAUGAAGCAAGAAACAUGAUUUGCAAUGAUUCAUACAGCAUUGCUCUAAUUCGCUCAUGAAUGGCUAUAAUAUGUAAUAGAAGAAAAAGUGCGUCAAACAAGGAAGAGACGGGCAUGCCACUUACGCUACCUAUGUACAAAUUACAAGUACAGGGUUUGCAACUUUUACGGUAUGAUAUUAUGAUGUACUCGGCAGUUAUGAUGAUAUCGACCAUGCAUCUAUGAUGUACUCGACCAUGCAGUUUGUGCUGUAUUCUUUUUUAAGUAUGCAUGCG